rnacentral:rRNA from 1 species
UACAGAGGGUGCAAGCGUUGUUCGGAAUCAUUGGGCGUAAAGAGCGUGUAGGCGGCUCGGUAAGUCCGCUGUGAAAGUCCAGGGCUCAACCCUGGAAUGCCGGUGGAAACUGUCGAGCUAGAGUCCGGAAGAGGAGAGUGGAAUUCCCGGUGUAGCGGUGAAAUGCGCAGAUAUCGGGAAGAACACCCGUGGCGAAGGCGGCUCUCUGGGACGGUACUGACGCUGAGACGCGAAAGCGUGGGGAGCAAACAGG